rnacentral:misc_RNA from 1 species
AAGGAUCAUUACCACGCGAUCCAAAACGCUCACUCAAUCAACUUUAACUUGGCGGGGCGCAAGCCCCGACUCGUUUGUAUCUCACCCCUUUUUCAAACUCCAAUUGAGGACACCGAAGCAACUUCGGCAAAGCCCUGGGACCGGCGAACGUGCGGCGUGCUUUAUUGCGCGGCGCGCGCCAGCCCCCCAGUACCAUAUCACAAUGCUUACAACUUUUAGCAACGGAUAUCUUGGCUCUU